AUUUUCAAUCAUGAGCCUGUUUUAUUUACAGGAGAGGGCAUUGGAACUGUAAUGCGCAUAUCGACUCGAAACAAACCUAAACACUCUGGAACUUUGGCAGACCAAUCACCAUUCUCCUUGCACGAGAUAGACUUCUCGCCAGACAAAACAUAAUCAGCAUGCUUGCAUGAGAACUCCGCUGUUGAACCGUAUUGGUAACUAGAAACGUUGGCGUGAACUGUCUUCGAAGUGUGAAGCUUCGGACACGAGACAGCUACA